CCUACGGGAGGCAGCAGUGAGGAAUAUUGGUCAAUGGACGAGAGUCUGAACCAGCCAAGUAGCGUGAAGGAUGACUGCCCUAUGGGUUGUAAACUUCUUUUAUAAAGGAAUAAAACGAGGCACGUGUGCCUUUUUGCAUGUACUUUAUGAAUAAGGAUCGGCUAACUCCGUGACAGCAGCCGCGGUAAUACGGAGGAUACGAGCGUUAUCCGGAGUUAUUGGGUUUAAAGGGAGCGUAGAUGGGUUGUUAAGUCAUUUGUGAAAGUUUGCGGAUCAACCGUAAAAUUGCAAUUGAUACUGGCAGUCUUGAGUACAGUUGAGGUAGGCGGAAUUCGUGGUGUAGCGGUGAAAUGCUUAGAUAUCACGAAGAACCCCGAUUGCGAAGGCAGCUUACUAAACUGUGACUGACAUUGAUGCUCGAAAGUGUGGGUAUCAAACAGGAUUAGAUACCCUAGUAGUC
rnacentral:rRNA from 1 species